rnacentral:rRNA from 1 species
CGUAGGGUGCGAGCGUUAAUCGGAAUUACUGGGCGUAAAGCGUGCGCAGGCGGUUUUGUAAGACAGGCGUGAAAUCCCCGGGCUCAACCUGGGAACUGCGUUUGUGACUGCAAGGCUAGAGUAUGGCAGAGGGGGUGGAGUUCCACGUGUAGCAGUGAAAUGCGUAGAGAUGUGGAGGAACACCGAUGGCGGAGGCAGCCCCCUGGGCCAAUACUGACGCUCAUGCACGAAAGCGUGGGUAGCAAACAGGAUUAGAUACCCUGGUAGUCCACGCCCUAAACGAUGUCAACUAGGUGUUGGGUGGGUAAAACCAUUUAGUACCGGAGCUAACGCGUGAAGUUGACCGCCUGGGGAGUACGGCCGCAAGGUUA